rnacentral:rRNA from 1 species
ACACUCCUGCGGGAGGCAGCAGUGGGGAAUUUUGGACAAUGGGCGAAAGCCUGAUCCAGCAAUGCCGCGUGAGUGAAGAAGGCCUUCGGGUUGUAAAGCUCUUUUGUCAGGGAAGAAACGGUGAGAGCUAAUAUCUUUUGCUAAUGACGGUACCUGAAGAAUAAGCACCGGCUAACUACGUGCCAGCAGCCGCGGUAAUACGUAGGGUGCAAGCGUUAAUCGGAAUUACUGGGCGUAAAGCGUGCGCAGGCGGUUUUGUAAGUCUGAUGUGAAAUCCCCGGGCUCAACCUGGGAAUUGCAUUGGAGACUGCAAGGCUAGAAUCUGGCAGAGGGGGGUAGAAUUCCACGUGUAGCAGUGAAAUGCGUAGAUAUGUGGAGGAACACCGAUGGCGAAGGCAGCCCCCUGGGUCAAGAUUGACGCUCAUGCACGAAAGCGUGGGGAGCAAACAGGAUUAGAUACCCCGGUAGUCCCA